ACACCUCAACUCUCAUGGUUCUGCCGUGAUGAGCUUGGACUUUGGAGGUCUUGCUGGCCUUGUGGUCAGCUCCUCUCAAAUGGAUCAGCUUGCCAGUGUUUGGUGGCAUCACAGGUGUGAUAACUAUCUACGCUUGUGGUUUUCCACCAGGUAACCUUCAGCAAUGGAGGUUCGCUGGAGCUCAUAAACGUCUCUCCUCAGCGAGGACAGCUUCUUGAAC
rnacentral:misc_RNA from 1 species